CCACCAGACUCCUACGGGAGGCAGCAGUGGGGAAUAUUGGUCAAUGGGCGGGAGCCUGAACCAGCCAAGCCGCGUGAGGGAAGAAGGUACAGCGUAUCGUAAACCUCUUUUGUCAGGGAACAAAGGCGGGGACUAGUCCCCGGAUGAGGGUACCUGAAGAAAAAGCAUCGGCUAACUCCGUGCCAGCAGCCGCGGUAAUACGGAGGAUGCGAGCGUUAUCCGGAUUUAUUGGGUUUAAAGGGCGCGCAGGGGGCGUGUUAAGUCGGGGGAAAACGCCGGGGGCUAAACCCCGGCGAGCCGUUGAAACUGGCGGGCUGGAGUUGGAGAGAAGUACGCGGAAUGCGCGGUGUAGCGGUGAAAUGCUUAGAUAUCGCGCAGAACCCCGAUUGCGAAGGCAGCAUACCGGCGCUCAACUGACGCUCAUGCACGAAAGCGUGGGUAUCGAACAGGAUUAGAUACCCGAGUA
rnacentral:rRNA from 1 species